GACGAACGCUGGCGGCGUGCUUAACACAUGCAAGUCGAACGGAAAGGCCCUGCUUUUGUGGGGUGCUCGAGUGGCGAACGGGUGAGUAACACGUGAGUAACCUGCCCUUGACUUUGGGAUAACUUCAGGAAACUGGGGCUAAUACCGGAUAGGAGCUCCUGCUGCAUGGUGGGGGUUGGAAAGUUUCGGCGGUUGGGGAUGGACUCGCGGCUUAUCAGCUUGUUGGUGGGGUAGUGGCUUACCAAGGCUUUGACGGGUAGCCGGCCUGAGAGGGUGGACGGCCACAUUGGGACUGAGAUACGGACCAGACGCCUAUGGGAGGCAGCAGUGGGGAAUAUGGCACAAUGGGCGGAAGCCUGAUGCAGCAACGCCGCGUGCGGGAUGACGGCCUUCGGGUUGUAAACCGCUUUCGACUGUGACGAAGCGUGAGUGACGGUAAUGGGUAAAGAAGCACCGGCUAACUACGUG
rnacentral:rRNA from 1 species